AGUCACUCAUUUUUAUAAAAAAUAGUCACAGUUAAAUUUUUUUAACAAAAUAAGUCUUGUUUCAAUAAGGUAGAUCUGAUUAUAUAAGUGCAACACAGAUAUUAAUUCCAUGGCACCACUGAGUUCAGUACUUCAAAAUUGCCGUGCUCUACCUCUCCCCAGUGCACAAAAACACUCUCCACACCAAGCUGCUGCUGCUGGGGGAUGGAGGGAUGGCGUCAGCGAUUCAAGACUGUUUUUCCUACCUGUUCAGCACUUCUUUCAGCGAUAUGAAGUUAAAUCCAGGCAUCAUCGCCAUCAACAUACAGCCAUACUCCAGGAUUGCCCAUCUUCAACAUAAACGGACUCUCCUGGACUCCACUUCCCACAUCAGUCACAGCCACACUUCCUGAGAAAGAAGUCUACACUCUUCAUUCACUUUCAUUCACCCACUUCCAACCUGGCUCCUGUUACCACUGGACCGUCAAAAGUGACUCUUGUCAAAGUCACUAUUCUGGCUACCUAUUGCUGUGUAAUAACCUCCUCAAAAUUUAGUAUCUUUAAAAAAC
rnacentral:lncRNA from 1 species